GACGAACGCUGGCGGCGUGCCUAAUACAUGCAAGUAGAACGCACAGUUUAUACCGUAGCUUGCUACACCAUAGACUGUGAGUUGCGAACGGGUGAGUAACGCGUAGGUAACCUGCCUGGUAGCGGGGGAUAACUAUUGGAAACGAUAGCUAAUACCGCAUAAUAUUAAUUAUUGCAUGAUAAUUAAUUGAAAGGUGCAAUUGCACCACUACCAGAUGGACCUGCGUUGUAUUAGCUAGUAGGUGAGGUAACGGCUCACCUAGGCGACGAUACAUAGCCGACCUGAGAGGGUGAUCGGCCACACUGGGACUGAGACACGGCCCAGACUCCUACGGGAGGCAGCAGUAGGGAAUCUUCGGCAAUGGACGAAAGUCUGACCGAGCAACGCCGCGGGAGUGAAGAAGGGUUUCGGAUCGUAAAGCUCUGUUGUAAGAGAAGAACGGGUGUGAGAGUGGAAAGUUCACACUGUGACGGUAUCUGACCAGAAAGGGACGGCUAACUACGUG
rnacentral:rRNA from 1 species